UCAGAUACAGAGGUGAAAAUUGAGAAGAUGGUUCAAGGAAAAUCUCUCAGGCUUUGGACUCACUGAAGAUAAAGACCGAGAAAUGACCCCGUUCUCUGACACUUUCAGGGUGAAAUGACCGUGUACUGCUAUGCGUUGGUGUAAGUCAUAGCUUUUGAGGAGAAAGAAGAAUCCUUUGUUCCAGGAAUGCAUGUGGAUAUUGACGGCUUGCUGACCUCAAUGUAUACUAAGUAACAAGACUCAGAUGGCUGGCUCCAGUGCUAGUCAUGAGACCCCCUUGAAGAAACGACAAACUCGGCUGGCACCAGGUUUUCAAGAUGUUAACAUUGGGGAAAACUGGAUAAAAGGGAGAAGUGUCACCCAAAACCACAUUGCUCUUUUGCUGCAGAGUUGAGAGUUGAGCUGAGAGCUGAUUUAAAUUGGAAAUAUAAGUAUAAAGCUUAACUGUUUUAUGGUUGCCCAUUGGGGAACUCCAUAAUGAAAUUGUGGAGUCGAAACACUGGGUCUCAGCUUUGCCACUUAUUAACUGGCAUGACCUCUAGCCAAUCUGUCUCUUUUUCCUCAUCAUUAAAAUGGAAGUUACAAUUUUUCCUUCCCAAAGAAAGAAUAAGGAGGCCAAGUGUAAACAGAGAAGGAUUGGCUGCCCUCUGGCACCAAUUAGCUCUUGAGAGGAAGAAUGGAAUAUUCACGUCAGAAUACUCACUAUGCCCCAGCCCGGCAGUGUUUCUCCCUGGGAGUACCAUGGACAUUUUAUGUGGGACAGUUCCAUUGUGUGGGUUCAGCUCACAUACUGAAGAAUAUUUACCAUUCCUGGUUCCCACCCACUAAAUUCCAGUAGCGUCAUUACCAUCCCCUUCUUUAUGCCAAAAAAAGGUUGUAUAGAUUUCUAAUCGCCCUUUGGGAGACCUAAUUGCUCCCUAGUUGAGAACCACAAGCAGCUAUCUCACUGGUAUGAAAUAGGAGCUCAGUAAAUAUUUAACCAACUGCUUGAUUGAUGGGAUUUUUCCUUGGGCUACAACCUGGGCCUAUCUCAUCAUUGGUUUCUAGAGCCAGCCUCUCUGCAGGUUUGUUUGCUGUGCCCUGCCCAGCAACCCAGACAGCCAUUUGCAUGGGCACCAUUUCACCAGGAUCCUGACUGUGGAAAUGAAUGGGUGAUCCCCAAGUCUGGACACCCUGGGAGAUGUAAGUGAAGGCAAAGGAUGUGUUGAUUGGCAACAUCUGACAUGGCUCCUUCUCUAUCAGCUGGGAUCCCAGACCGAGAACAACUAAGAUCUACUUAAGAGUCGAACUCUCCUCCCCACUCUCCCACCAACUUAUUUUGGACAUGUAGUAUGAACAAGAAAUAAAUGUUUCCUAUAAGCCACAAACAUUUUGAGAUUGCUUCUUACUGCAGCAUAAUCUAGCUUAUCCUAGCUUGUUUAACCUCCAAGGAUUCCAGAAGAGUGACUAUAAACAGUCCAUCUGCAGUUGGUACAAAACAACUGUUGAACUUGGGCUGAGGGACCAACUUACUUUUUGCUUCGAUUCCGGUAUAAAUGUUGAAAAAGUCCAAGUCACAGAGCUCAAGAAGUGCAGGUGUGAGUUGGCCUUCUUAAAGACAAAGCCCGUUCUGUGACUAAGCACUCUCUCCCUUUUCCCUCCUUCCCUGGAUAAUGAGGUAGAACCUUUGGGCUGGCCCCCAGAGGUCCCAGCUCAAUGGCUGUCAGGACUUUAUGGAAAGCAUAUUAUAAAUUUUCACUUUCUCUCAUCAUAAACCAGUGUGAGAGUGGGCAUCUGUGUUGCAAGUGGAAUUUUCUGCUUUUAGUGACUUGACACUUUAGCCCUUUUGUUAUGAACCCACUUUUAAUUUUUUUAACAUAGUCCAGGCACAGCACAUAAACCUCUACCCCCUGGGGAGGCCUUUGUGGUCAGUUCCAUUAGGGGCUAAGCUUUUGAUUUUUUUAUUUUGCUUGAAUUGAUUACAAGUGUUUCAACUAGUAUCCAGGUGAUUUCCUUGUCUGGGCAAUUCAGGGCUAAGCCGUUGAGGCACACACAGUAAUUGGUGAACUUGGGGAAGGUGUAUUAGUGACCACAUGAGUAGAAAACAAGGCACUGACUGUCAGUGCUUUUUUAGCUUUCAGGGUUGAUAUUUUCAGAGUCCUUUGUGUCCAGAAGAUUGCAAGGGAAAACUAGGUAUUCAAUAAACUUUCAAUGGGCACUAAUCAGUCCUUCUAUUACUUGAUCUCUCAGUUCUUGGCAUUUCAUGCAGUUGACCACCCCUCCUUGAAAUUUCUCUUGGUUUCUAUGGCACUUCUCCUGGUUCGUAUCAUAUCUUUCUAGUUCUUCCUCGAUCCCUUUGGAUGGAUGUUCCACCUCUGCCUCAUCGCUGAAUGUUGAUACUCACAAUGGUUCUGUCUUAGCACCUGUUCUUAUUUUGCACACUAUCCCUGAACAAUUUUUACCCAUUUCCGUUACUCUAUCUACUACUUCUAUAUCUCCAAUCAAAAUCUUUUCCUAGAGCAUUGUAUCUAUAGAUCCAAAUGCUUACUGAACAUACUCACUUGGAUGUCCCAUGGGUAUCUGAAAAUCAACAUGCCCCAAAGACCAUAUGGCCUCCUUUUUCCUCGGCUCCUCUUCCUAUAAGCUUCUUACCUCAAUGAAGUCACCAUUAUUGAUCCAGUUACCCAAACAAGAACACAAAUAUUCAUGAUCACUCUCUUUCUUCCGUCAUAUCUAGCUAAUACCUGCAUACUGAUGACUCUCAAAUCUGUCUAUAUUUAUGUUCCCAUUGAUUUGUAACAUUCAAAGAGAAGUCCCUUAGGCAUCUUAAAGUCAACAUUUUCCAAAUGUAAUUCACCACUUCCUCCUUCCUAAGUCUACUUCGUUUGCUUUACCUCUCACUGUGCCUAAAUAUUAUCCUCACCAUACAUGCCAUGAGAUCUUAUGCUUCCAUGAAUUUAUAGGGUUCCCUCUGUUUAAAAUACUCUUCUUUUCUCCAUCUGGAAAUUUCCUAUUUACCCUUCUAAGUCCAGCACUAAUGUUGUUUCUCCGUGAAGUCUUUUAUAAUAUCCCUUAGAAUAAAUUUUCUAUUCGUCUGUGUUCCUUUGGCAUAUCUAUAUCUGUCUCAAAACACCCAGCAUAUUAUAACACAUUUAUUUCUCAUGUUUGUCUUUCUAUUAGACUAUAAGUUUCUUGGCAGCAGGGAUCAGGUUUUAUUAAUCUUUGAUCCCCUACCACCCAAUAGUGUGCCUGACACAAAGCAGGCCUUCAAUUCAUGUUCGUGAAAUAAAAGAAUUUAUUAAAUUAUAUUUUACUGAUCUCCACAUUUUCAGAGAAAUAUGGACAGGGUUAAAGAGUAAUUAAGCUUGACUGGAGACUUUUAAGAGAUAAUUUAAUACAUUUCUCCAAGUAACUAUUAAUCCCUUACAUUUAUAGAGCCCUUUAAGCUGUCAAACAGUAAUCAGGUACAUCACUUUACACAGUUCCUCACAACAAUCUUGGGAGGGGGGUGGGGUAGCGAAGGAAUUAUUCCUUUUCAGGAGGCACAAAACAAAUUACUAAAACAAUAAAUUACUAAAGGACAUCUCGUCCAAUGCUCUUGAAGUGUUAAUACAAGGAAGGUAAACGUGUUCUUCAGUUCUGUGAUGGUCCAAGCUAGAGAAAUAGGCUUCGUCCUUGUAAAGAGAAAGCAUUUAAUUGGAUGGGAAAUUAGAUUCUGGAUUAAGUUACCAGGAGAGUUUGUAGGUCUAGGUCCUUCAACAAUUUGAGGACACAUUUAGCUUCAUGAGUCUCUGAUAAUACCAAUAACUGCUAAUACACUAUGUGCCAGGCACUGGGCGAGUGCUAUCUUAUUUAAUUCUCACAGAAACCCUAUGAGGCAUCUUCACUUACCAAAUAAGAAACCUGAGGCUCAAGGAGGUUAAGCAAAUUGUCUAAGGUUACACAGCUAGUAUUUAGCUGAGCUGGAAUUCUAGGCCUAUCUGACUCUAAAGCUGUUAAUUCUUUUCUCUGUAUUUUUUUAAAAAAUUUUUAAAUAGAUUUUUUUUUUAACAGCAGUUUUAGGUUAUAGCAAAAUGAAGUGUU